rnacentral:rRNA from 1 species
AAUCAACGCUGGCGGCGUGCCUAACACAUGCAAGUCGAACGCGAAAGCCCCGCAAGGGGUGAGUAGAGUGGCAAACGGGUGAGUAACGCGUGGGUGACCUGCCUUCGAGCGGGGGAUAACGUUCCGAAAGGGACGCUAAUACCGCAUAACAUCCUGCUUUUUAAGAGGUGGAGAUCAAAGCUGGGGAUCGCAAGACCUAGCACUCGAAGGAGGGGCCCGCGUCCGAUUAGCUAGNGGUGGGGUAACGGCCUACCAAGGCGACGAUCGGUAGCCGGCCUGAGAGGGCGGACGGCCACACUGGGACUGAGACACGGCCCAGACUCCUACGGGAGGCAGCAGUGGGGAAUUGUUCGCAAUGGGCGCAAGCCUGACGACGCAACGCCGCGUGGAGGAUGAAG